rnacentral:lncRNA from 1 species
AUCUGUUAGCAUUUUCUGGUGCCAGGGCAUGAUGAAGACCUAUUUAUUCAUAAGACUGUUGCCAGGUCUCAAGCUGUUGCUGGAGGAGCACAGGGAUGUUCGAUAAGCCCCACAGGUUGGAAGUCAGAUUUGAUUUGAAAAUAUGAUGCCUCCAUAAUCACGUAAGUUUUAGAAAUAUUGAGCUAAGUAAUGUUGAUCUUUCUGGUACGACUUGACCUUGUAUAUAGUUAUGUUGUCUUAUGACUCUCCAGAGGUGCUAGGUAGUAUACAACUGCUUUGAAAAUUUAUUUGAAUGCAAUACUUUUUGAAAGAUACACUUGAAAGAUUUGUGUUCAGGGGAACUCUCUAGCAAAUGGUGGUCUCCACUAUCCAUCCUUCACAUUAGCAGGAUACAGCAGGGAACCCUAACUCCAGAGUUAAGGUCAUUG